GCGGGGCACAGAGCGGCAGAGAAUAGACUCCUGCAGGCUGUCCUCUCAGCUCCACAAAGCAGCGACAUGCCAUGCAUGACAUCCUUUAAUAUUUUGGAAGAAUGUGGCCUUUUAAAGCUCUUCCACAUGCAACUCCUGACUGCAGAGCUGCCUUGAAUGGGUCUCUCACUAAAGCUGGAUGUCAGCGACUGGCUGGGAGCUGGCCCGGAAGCCCCAGGG